AUUACCUGGAAAUCUUGUUAAAAUGCUGAUUCUGAGAAAGGUUCUGGGAUGCUGCAUUUCUAACAAGCUCCCAGGUAAUGCCAU
rnacentral:pre_miRNA from 1 species